CGCAGUAGCUCUCCGUCUCUAGCUUCUUCCGUAGCUUAGGGUUUGCGUCUCCAUCCGACCUGUGAUCCUCUAAACUUUAUCAGAUUAUAUCCAGAUUAGCGUCUUUCUUCCAUUCUGGUCUUCAGUUCUCUGCGUUGGCAGUAUGUAAGUUAAUCACAGUGUGAGUCCAUCAAUGAUGGUAGUCCGGUGGUUGGUGGUGGGGCUUUGAGGAACUGUGCUUACAGCCGCAGUGGUUCUCUGGUGUACAGAAUCUCCGCCAUCGGCUUCUCCAGCCGCACUCCGCCAUCGGCAUCUCCGGAUUGCCCUCCGGCAUGAUCUCCACUAGUGGCUCGUGCGGCUCAAAUGGCUCAUCAAUUCAUUCUUCCUACCAGCUGCCAUUUUUCAUCAGCUAAACUCCCUCCUGUAAAAGGUUCAUCUUUGGAGUUGUUCUCAAUUGUGGGCCUCAACACACCUUAAUCUUCAACCAAAUGUCUUCUUCCUCUUAUUGGAUGCUUUCCCAAAUCUUCUUCCCUGCAGCCUCGAGGUUGCAAUGGAUGCUGCUCAUUUUCGCUCUUUCCUCCACAUAUAUAUAUAUAGGAUAGGAAAGUUCAUUUUAAAAUUAAUAUUAGUUUUGAAAAUUGCAACAGUCAUCCCCAAUUAAAUUCAUUUUUGUAUUCACACAUGUAUUGAUGGCUUGUAAUAAUAGUUUAAGUAUAUGAAGAGCUUUCAAGCAACCUUUCAAGUUCCAAGACA